rnacentral:rRNA from 1 species
AUUGAACGCUGGCGGCAUGCUUUACACAUGCAAGUCGAACGGCAGCACAGAGAAGCUUGCUUCUUGGGGCGAGUGGCGAACGGGUGAGUAACAUAUCGGAACGUACCGAGCAGUGGGGGAUAACUAAUCGAAAGAUUAGCUAAUACCCGCAUAUCUUCUGAGGAAGAAAGCAGGGGACCAUUUGGCCUUGCGCUGUUUGAGCGGCCGAUAUCUGAUUAGCUAGUUGGUGGGGUAAAGGCCUACCAAGGCGACGAUCAGUAGCGGGUCUGAGAGGAUGAUCCGCCACACUGGGACUGAGACACGGCCCAGACUCCUACGGGAGGCAGCAGUGGGGAAUUUUGGACAAUGGGCGCAAGCCUGAUCCAGCCACGCCGCGUGUCUGAAGAAAGGGCUUCGGGUUGUAAAGGACUUUUGUCAGGGAAGAAAAGGGCGGGGUUAAUACCCCUGUCUGAUGAC